rnacentral:lncRNA from 1 species
AAGGGUGCUACACAGAAGGGUUGUUUGACGAUGAAAUGAGACACCCUGAAGGAUGAGACUCUGAGUGGUACCGGCAACUACCUACUCCUCUCCGCAGUUGCCUCUGAUGGAGCUCAGGCCGGCAAAGCCCUUUCUUUCCCUGUUUCAAGCCAGUUCCUCCUACCACCCCCGCCCCCUCCUCCCACCUCCACCCCACCCCCUAUCCCCGGUUCGCUGAAGCUGAACGUUCAGUGCUGUCCCCUAGUGGAUUCAGCGUGGUAUGGCAGGGCCAUGAUGCUGCCUCUUUUCUUCAGACAUGAAAAUGUUCUUAUCUCAGGG